rnacentral:rRNA from 1 species
AUUGAACGCUGGCGGCAGGCCUAACACAUGCAAGUCGAACGAGUGGCGGACGGGUGAGUAAUGUCUGGGAAACUGCCCGAGGGAGGGGGAUAACGACUGGAAACGGUAGCUAAUACCGCAUACCAUCGGAUGUGCCCAGAUGGGAUUAGCGUGUAGGUGAGGUAACGGCUCACCUAGGCGACGAUCCCUAGCUGGUCUGAGAGGAGGACCAGCCACAGUGGAACUGUGGCACGGUCGAGAGUGCUACGGGAGGCAGCGGUUGGGCAUAUGUCACAAUGGGCGUAGUCUUGAUGCAGCCAGGCCGCGGGUAUGAAGAAGGCCUGUGGGUUGUAAAGUACUUUCAGCGGGGAGGCGUUACCCGCAGAAGAAGCACCGGCUAACUCCGUGCCAGCAGCCGCGGUAAUGC